GCUAGCGUAGCUUAAAGUAAAGCACGGCACUGAAGAUGCUAAGAUGGAUUUCUAAAAUCCCGCAGGCA
rnacentral:tRNA from 1 species